CCUACGUUUUUUUUUUUCAAAUAAAAAAACGUUUUUAUAUUUGUCAUAGUCAUCACCUUAGCCUUAUCAAUUAUUAAAGCAAUCCACUCUUGUCCAUAUUUAUUUAUAUUUGCAGCAUCUCAGGAUCUGAAAUCCCGGGAAACGAUAACGUUUGAUUCUUUCCAAGGCAGAAAUGGAUGAGCUCAAGCUAAAACCAGCAAACUCGUGUCCUCUCACCCCAUUAACUUUCUUGGAAAGGGCAGCAACUGUCUAUGGUGAUUGCCCCUCUAUCAUCUACAACAACACCUCUUACACCUGGUCUCACACCC
rnacentral:misc_RNA from 1 species